rnacentral:rRNA from 1 species
GACGAACGCUGGCGGCGUGCUUAACACAUGCAAGUCGAACGGAAAGGCCCUGCUUUUGUGGGGUGCUCGAGUGGCGAACGGGUGAGUAACACGUGAGUAACCUGCCCUUGACUUUGGGAUAACUUCAGGAAACUGGGGCUAAUACCGGAUAGGAGCUCCUGCUGCAUGGUGGGGGUUGGAAAGUUUCGGCGGUUGGGGAUGGACUCGCGGCUUAUCAGCUUGUUGGUGGGGUAGUGGCUUACCAAGGCUUUGACGGGUAGCCGGCCUGAGAGGGUGACCGGCCACAUUGGGACUGAGAUACGGCCCAGACUCCUAAGGGAGACAGCAGUGGGGAAUAUUGCACAAUGGGCGGAAGCCUGAUGCAGCAACGCCGCGUGCGGGAUGACGGCCUUCGGGUUGUAAACCGCUUUCGCCUGUGACGAAGCGUGAGUGACGGUAAUGGGUAAAGAAGCACCGGCUAACUACGUG